CGCCUGUGCUAGGGUAACAAUUCAUUUGCCCAACGCAAAUGUAGUUUGUUUGCUUGAUGGGCUAAUACCGAUUGGUCGGAAAAUGCAGUGGAUAAAGGUGAAACUGAGAAUGAUGCAAAUUCUGAGCCAAAGCCCUUGGGAGAGAGAGGUGGAGAGCCGAGUGCUGAGUGGGCUGAUGACUGCUAGCUAGAAUGACCUGUCCAACAACCUGGGGGGCGUGGGGAGAGCCCAGUUCAUGGGGGUCUAGGUGGAUGUGUGGUUUCUGAGGGGUGCCCAAGCCAGGCAGACAAAGACUGUCUUGGACCUUUAUCCAGGGAGAUCCUCCCAGUUCAUCUGGGCUGACCCUCGAGAGCCACCUGAUGAAGCACAUCCUGUACAGCCAUUGAGGAAUGGCUGAAUCUGCCCACAUUCAGUGCCAGAGCCUGGGAUGAAAUAUGGAGUGCUGUUCCAUGGGCCUCAAACGCUUCCUGAUCACUCUGGGAAACCCGUGAGCAUGUACAGAGCCUGGGAGUAAGCUCGGCCUAACUGCCUCCUACCGCACGGUCUAAGACCUUAAAGCUGCAGAAAGCAGAGAGGAUGUCAGGAAAACACUGGAUGGAUGGUGGGUGGGGGGUCAGGCGAGGACGCAAGGGAGGAGCAUGUGAAAGGAAGGGUGUGAGAGAAGGAAAGGCCGGGGUUCAGCUUGAAGCCAAACCAGCUGCAGAAAUGCAUCAUUUAGAAGCUCUGGUCUCUGUGUCUCGUCCUUCUGCAGAUAAGACUUAUCUUGGGAGUGUUGGCACAGCCCUUCAAGAUGUAGACCCCUGGCGGAAACUGGAGCCCACAGUCAUUACCCUCCUGGCUCAUGCCUCUGCCGCUGGAGGCUUUUCCAGGGUCCCCCUGCAAGAGCCUGGGAACUGUCCAGCUAGCAGUCUGCUGAACCACAGGGGCAGCCACCUUGAGGCCGCCAGCUGGAGAAGGCCCAUGGCUGGUUGUGGAGAUCUGCGCCUGGAAGAGAAGCAGCAGGCCAGGGGCCCAGAGGAGAGCUGCUGCCCAUUGCCGUGCUUGACCUGUUAGCAUUUGCAUUCCUGAAGUCGUGGUUGGUUAAUUAAAAAUAAGCCCCAGGGCCUAAGGAGGCCCACAGUGGGGUAGGAACGACUCCUUGGUGCAAAGCGAUUCCGAGUUUCCAACUAAAGUAAUAUGAAAGGGUAAAAGGGACAGGCUGUUAAAACACCUAGUGUUGUCAAUGGGAGCUGGGAGGCUCUGAAAGGCAUCGGGGCUAACCGUGGUCCCCAAGCUGGUUAAAUGUGGCCAAGAGUCGGAUCUCGUCCCCAUGGUAUCCCACUCUCUACAGACAGUGGAUAGUCCAUACUCCGGUGUAAACACUUUCACCACCAGUGGCCAGUGGGUAGGGUGUGUCUGUAUCUUUUUCUGAUUUUGACGUUACUGAGUGCUGAAUGUGUGCGGACGCCUUUCCAGGUGCGUCAUAUGUAUUAUCUAACUUCUUUCAUCCUCUCAAAAAUCCCAGAGGCAGAUGAGGAAAUGGAGGCACAGAGAGGUUAUGCGAUUUCUCCUCAGUUGGUCAGUGGCAGAGCUGGGACUUAGACUCAGAUAGUCUGACUCUAAGGGCCCCCUCUUGACCACUGCGCUGUCUGGUCUCUUCAGAAAUCUUUGCUUGAAAGGCCAGGUUGCACACUUGAGCUUUUUUCUUUUCUUUUUUUUUUUCCAAGAUGGAGUCUCGCUCUGUCACCCAGGCUGGAGUGCAGUGGCACAAUCUCAGGCUCACUGCAACCACCGCCUCCUGGGUUCAAGCAAUUCUCCUGCCUCAGCCUCCCAAGUAGCUGGGGCUACAGGCAUAUGCCACAAUGACUGGCUAAUUUUUGUAUUUUCAAUAGAGUUGGGGUUUCCCCAUGCUGGCCAGGCUGGCCUCAAACUCCUGACAUAGUGAUCCACCCACCUCAGCCUCCCAAAGUCCUGGGAUUACAGGCAUCAGGCACAGCUCCUGGCCCCACUUGAGCUUUUAUAUUUGUAGAGAGUAAAAAGAAUGAAGGCAGGAAAGAAUUUUGUGAAGGCAAAGGUGGUUGAUGGUUUCAAGUAUCCACUUGGAAAAGUUUCGCUUUUGAUCCUUGUAUGAGUCCGUUUUCACACUGCUAUAAAGAAAUAAAUACAAGACACUGGGUGAUUUAUAAACAAAGGAAGUUUAAUUGACUCACAGUUCCACAUGGCUGGGAGGCCUGAGGAAACUUACAAUCAUGUUGGAAGGGGAAGCAGACACCUUCUUCACAAGGCAGCAGAAGAGAGAAGUGAGCAAGAACAGAGAAAACUGCCUUAUAAAACCAUCUUGAAAACUCGUUCACUAUCACGAGAACAGCACCGGGGAAACCACCCCCAUGAUCCAAUCACCUCCCUCCCUCAACGCAUGGGGAUUACAGUUCAAGAUGAGAUUUGGGUGGGGACACAGAGCCAAACCAUAUCAAUCCUCUUAGUGAGAGAGUCCUUCAAAGACAAAUAGCACCCCAUCUCAAAGGGGAGAAACGCAAUAGCUCAUUAGACCCUGAGAACCUGGGGGCUCAGCUACUCUUAGCGGCCAGGCUCUCAGGCCCUUUACUCUGAUAGUGAAGGAUUCUCAAGUGUGUCUAUGCUGGCUGCCCUCUCAGGACAAUGCUUCCAUAGCUAGCAGGAGACUUCUAGGAUAGCAAAAGAGGCUCCCCUGUGCCUACAGAUGAAAAUCAGC
ensembl:lncRNA